AGAAACCGAUCUUUUUGUUGUAGAAAAUGGAGAGGGAGAGACUGGAGAAGAAGAAGAAACUCGAGCAAGAUAAGCUAGAUGGUGAGAAAGGAAG
rnacentral:sRNA from 1 species